AGCCUGAGGCGGGGUGGUGGAGACCCCAGGUGAAGCGCUGGCCAACGCCCCGCAGUGAGCGCCCGGCCCGUGGCCCCUCAGCUGGGGGCCUGCGUCAGGAGCCUGCGCCCUCUCUUCGUUUGUUGAUAGUUUUGACUCUCUCCUGUGGUGUCAGCGUGGGAAGCGGAGACGUGUUCCAGCCACUUGGGUGGCCAGGUAGUGCCCAGGCCGGACGCCCCAACAGUGUCCAAAUUCUUGCAGCACCUUUUCCUUUGGGGCCAGGCACCCCUCCCCCCAGGACAGACCUUCUCACUGGGCCUGAGCGGCCAGGUGGACACCACCUCCCCUGGGGGCUCAUUUGCGUCAAAUAUUCCGUCGUCUCUGUGGUGUCUUAGGAGGGAGCCGGCCCAUCGGCCCAACACCAGCCGGGGGUCCCCGAAUGUCUGUUUAACCAACUGAAAAUUCCCCUGGGAAAUCCUCAGGGCAGAACAGAGCUGGAGUGCACAGCAGGAGCAGGGGAACGACAAGGCGCCUGUGUGUCUUGGGAACAAAAUGUGGCUGUAACCCUCCUGAGGGGAAGCUGUAACCCUCCUGAGGGGAAGCUGACGCCCUCAGGCUUCUGGAAGGGGUGUCUGAAAGAUUUACAAGAAUGACUUUCCUUGUGACUCCCGAGUGGCAGCCAAAUUAAAACUUUGAGGCCUGGCUCUCUCAAUCCCCUCUGGGCAGGCUGCUCUUGCAGGGGGAGGAGGGCUGGGGGAGUAGGGGGUGGCUGUCCGUCCCUUGAAGCCCCUCCUAUACCAGCCCCAGGGGUGGACCAGAGUUGCCUUCGGGGUCUGUGCCCUGGGGGAGUGGCUGCUUGGGGCAUGCUGGCCUUAACUCUCAGGAGGCACUAGGGCCAGAGGGGAAGAAGGGGCCUUACAGUCAUCAGAAGCUCCUCCACAUUUAAAGGGUACCCUUUCUGUGCAGCAGGUGGUCCAGGAGAAACCCACAGUAGCUGGGGGCGAGGAGACAAGAGGCGCCUUGGCAGGCUGGCUUUGGGGGUGGCUGGGGGGGAGUUUCAAGCAGAACUCCCAAANNNNNNNNNNNNNNNNNNNNNNNNNNNNNNNNNNNNNNNNNNNNNNNNNNNNNNNNNNNNNNNNNNNNNNNNNNNNNNNNNNNNNNNNNNNNNNNNNNNGGCUGGGGGGGAGUUUCAAGCAGAACUCCCAAAGGGAGGCUUUGGCUGCUUUGCCAGGAGCAGAGGAAGCGGCUCUGGGCGCCCUGGGGUGCUCCUGCGGCUGGAAGAAGGUGGGCAGGCGGGGUCCUCACAAGCCCUGUGCGUGGCCACUGCGGUGCCUCGGGGCUGAGCCCAGAGCCAGCUUCCCAGGCUCCGUCUGGCGGUGGAGACAAGCCAAGCACCACGCGGUCGUCACUGCGAACAGCACAUCGCAGCCUGACUCUCACUCCGUGCCAAACCCAAGAACCAACAGACUUCUUUUGAAUAUAAAAACAUCAAUGACAGAUUUAUUUCUCUAUAAUUUUUCAUGCUGGGCUACAAGCCUAUACCGUACAGUCAGGAAUGUAACGUCUGCUUUUCACUGACAUUAUCAAUAUAUUCUUCUCACACAAGGUUUUAUAAAAAGCCACAGAUGACUGCCCAAAUCUGACCAGCCACGCACAAAGGGCCUCCACCCACCUGUGUCCUCAAGUGCUCCCCAUUUUUGCACGAAGGGUCAGCAGCACUUCUACCCUGGGGAAGCCUCAUUUAAAUUUGAAUAAUUCAGCCUCCCUUUUAUUUCUCAGGAUCAAAACAACAAGGGGUGUGGGGUUGCAUAGAAAAUUGGAACCUCGGAGACCAGGAAGGGCGCCUUUCGGGACGAAGAGUGACGCAGAGGGACGGCCUCCGGCCUGGGUCCUCGCGCGGCCCCUCCCGCCUGGCAGGGCUUUCGGAUUCGAAUCGGGUCCUGGAAGCUCUGGGAGGCUGAAGAGGGGUAAAGCGGCCCUUCAGCUCACUCGGCAAGUAGCACAAGAGAUUCACAGUCUUAUAGGCAUUUUAUAAAAAUAUAAAUAUGGGUACAGUUGCCUUCACAACGCUGGAUACAACGCCCUUUAAAAUUGGGUCUAUAACCAAGAUUUAAAAAAUACACCUAAAACUUGGCUUAAAAUAUGUUAAUAUUUUAUAUUGUCAUAAAUGUUAUGACAUUUAAUUGUGGCAAAUCCAUUUACUUUUUUUAAAAAAGUGUGCAAUCGACUGUUAACUAUAAUAGAACUAACUAGAAAGGCUUGAUCCCCACCUCCGUCACCGCCACACCCGAGCACCCAGGCUCCCACGGGAGCUCUGAAAACCGGCGGGCUUGGCGGCUGGCGGCCUCUCACCGGAGAAGGCGGAGGGGGGCCCGGGGCUUCCAAAACUCACGCGGAAUCGUGUGUGUGAGAGGGGAAGGCGGGGCGGGCGGAGGACAGGAGCUGAGGGGGAGAAGCCGGAGGGGACGGAGCAGCGCGGGGGAACCAUCAGGCAGGGCGGUAUUUUCAGUGCAACCAAGAAAUGACAAAACUCAAGUUUUUAGUUUUAAGACUAAAAAAAAAAAAAAA
rnacentral:lncRNA from 1 species